rnacentral:lncRNA from 1 species
AAAGUGACUGUUAUUCACCAAUUAAAUUCUUUCCUCCCAGUGCAGAAAUCAAUCCUGUAUUUUAGUCGGUGGGGGAGAUAAAACUCUAGGACAGCAACCAGCUGUGGUGGCAGAAGGAAAGGCAAUGAGAAUUUAGAGACGGAAGCCACGCUUGGCUAAAACAGGGGGAGAAAAUGGACUCAAAUUGGCAUUGGGUGUUCACUCAAGGGCAUGUAUCCUCCGUCCUCCGCAUAAGCUGAUAGAAUCAAAAUAGACCACAGGGGGCAAAGGGCUGACUUGAGAAAUCAGUUCAAGCAGCUUGGUUGCCUCCCAGAGACUGGAAUGAACGUCCUGCGGUCACAUCCCAAGGGCGGUCGGGAAGCAAUACUCAGUUUUCACUUUUGUUUGCAGUGACUAUUAAAGAGAAGUCCAGGAGAUGGCCACUGGAGUGAUGAAACCAGCGUCUUAUGGAAAGGUCUCGGCCAAAAACCUGGAAGGGUAGAGGAAAAAAUUGUUUUUCCUUCUUCCUAAUAUAUUUUUCAUUCAUCGCAUUGGAAAUUCAAAAGUCCACCAUCUCGCUCUCUCUUUUUGGUUUGCACCAGGUGUGUGUCACUUCACGUACAGCAUUUAUGACUCAGAAACAGCUCUAUUUCAAGUCCGUGUUUGUGAGUAUAUAUGUGUUUGCAGGUUUCUAUUUUAAGAAUUUAAAGGUUAAUUAUAUUCACCUGAAUAGUGUUAUUCACCUUUGGACAGGAUAGCUUAUGUCAGAAAACUAUAUUGGGCAAACGUCAUGGUAAUGAAAAUCUCAGAGGAGAGGAGACUUUGGAGCAGGACAACUUGGCCUUGAAUCUUGGUUAUAAUACCAGCUAUUUGGCAUAAGUCCCUAGUUUCUACACGUGUAAAAUGUGAGUAAUGAUGAUAAUAGCACCUACCUCACAGGAUGUUUUUAAGAUUAAGUGAGAUAACAGAUGAAAAGCACCCAGCAUAUUACUUGAGCGAAACACACUAAAUCUUGAAGAGCCAGUAGAUAUUGCUGUGAUUCUUUCUAGAUCAGUAAACUUCAUGAAGGAGGUGGGGAUGGUGGUAGAGCAGCCAUCUAUUAUAUUUCCAACCCAACCAGCUGCCUCACCAUUAUGUGCUGUGGGCCAGAAGAGCAAAGAGAUUACAG